CACUGUCCUCUACGAGCAUAUAUUCUGGCUUCCAACAAAUCCUCUGUUUCCCUUUACAGUGCAUAUACUUGGACAUCGUUAGCAUUAUGCGGAUGGAAUAAAAGGCGGGCUUCAGGGAAAGCUCUCCCUUCCAAGAGUUCCUUUGCCGGGGCGUGGAUGUGAGGAGAGCACCCAGAAGAUGGCGUCUGCUAUGUCUCCUGGCUGCCUGGAAAGAAACUGGAAGCCUGAGCACAUCCUCUGAGAAGAGAUCAGAAGUGAAUUUGAAAAUGACUAGCAAAUUUUUAAUGGAAAAUAACAUGAAGAGGUCCUAUGUUAGUCCCUAGGAUUCAGACUGCAAGGCGAGCAAGCACUGAGUGCCUACUGUAUACCAGAGCUUGUGUCAGAUGCAAAGAAUAUGAAGCUAAACAGGACAUGGCCACCAAGAGCAAUGGCACUGAUGGCGGCAAUUUCUCCAAGCACGGACUAUGUGCUGGACAUGCUCCUUUAUGGUCCUUGAAGCCCUGCAUGAUCUAGCCCAAGUCUCCAUCCUGACUUUAGUGCCUGGUUCUCUCCACUGGCCUUUCCUCUUCAGCCACACUGGUCUUGGAUUCUCUGACCACAUCAAGGACAUUCCAACCUCAGGGCCUUAGCACCUCCUGGUCCUUCCGUCUGGUGUGCUCUUUCCCAAGACCUCUGCAAGACUCAAUGCUUACUUUCUUCAAAAUCCUCUCCUCAAAUGUCACCAUGUCAGAGAAAGCUUCCCUCAUCACUGUAUAUAAAGUAGCAUAUCCCUAGAGCGCCUGGGUGGCUCAGUUGGGUAAGUGUCUG